UGGUUGAUCCUGCCAGUAGUCAUAUGCUUGUCUCAAAGAUUAAGCCAUGCAUGUCUGAGUACAGACCGAUCUAAGGUGAAACCGCGAAUGGCUCAUUAAAUCAGUCAUAAUUCCUUGGGUAGUGAAAAACUUUCCUCGGAUAACUGUGGAAAAUCCAGAGCUAAUACGUGCAACUGAGCUCCGACCUAGGCGCAAGUCUUGGGAAGAGCGCAUUUAUUAGUUUCAAAACUGACCGGUGUACUCCUUCGGGAUAUGCCGUUUGUCAAUUGUUUGAUGACUCCGGAUAACUAAGCCGAGCGCUACGGUCUCUAGUACCGGCGCCGUAUCUUUCAAGUGUCUGCCUUAUCAGCUUUCGAUUGUAGGUUAAACGCCUACAAUGGCUGUAACGGGUAACGGGGAAUCAGGGUUCGAUUCCGGAGAGGGAGCCUGAGAAACGGCUACCACAUCUAAGGAAGGCAGCAGGCACGCAAAUUACCCACUCCUAGCCCAGGGAGGUAGUGACGAAAAAUAACGAUGCGAGACUCUUCCGAGGCCUCGCAAUCGGAAUGAGUCUAUUAUAAAUUUAUGGACGAGGAUCCAUUGGAGGGCAAGUCUGGUGCCAGCAGCCGCGGUAAUUCCAGCUCCAAUAGCGUAUAUUAAAGUUGCUGCGGUUAAAAAGCUCGUAGUUGGACUUACUAAACCAAUUCGUGGGAGAGUCGCUCUUUGUACUAACGUUUCGCGCGGUUCCUCGAUCGAGUUUCGAGUGGUGUUGAAAUUCAUUCCCUAACGGGUUGAUUUCCUUGGCCGUUCGUUACGAGAUCCUGUGGACGGCGAGACGUUGUCAUCGGGUAUAGCUCGUCCGCGUUUGGUACAAUUAAAAUUUUGUCGGCUCGCUCGGAGUGCUCUUUACCGAGUGUUCCAGGGUGGCUGACACGUUCACUUUGAAAAAAUUAGAGUGCUUAAAGCGUGCCUAUAUAAGGGCAUGAAUGUCUGUGCAUGGAAUGAAGUAACAGGACCUCGAUUCUGUUGUUUUUGUCGGUUUUAAUGAACCGAGGUAAUGAUUAAAAGGGACAGACGGUGGCAUUAGUAUUGCGGCGCUAGAGGUGAAAUUCUUGGACCGUCGCAAGACUAACUACUGCGAAAGCAUUUGCCGAGAAUGUUUUCAUUAAUCAAGAACGAAAGUUAGAGGAUCGAAGGCGAUCAGAUACCGCCCUAGUUCUAACCCUAAACUAUGCUAACUAGCGAUCCGCCGGAGUCAUUCCCACGACCCGGCGGGAAGCCCCAGGGAAACCAAAGUCUUUGAGUUCCGGGGGAAGUAUGGUUGCAAAGCUGAAACUUAAAGGAAUUGACGGAAGGGCACCACCAGGAGUGGAGCCUGCGGCUUAAUUUGACUCAACACGGGAAACCUCACCAGGCCCGGACAUCAUAAGGAUUGACAGGUUGAGAGCUCUUUCUCGAUUUGAUGGGUGGUGGUGCAUGGCCGUUCUUAGUUGGUGGAGUGAUCUGUCUGGUUGAUUCCGAUAACGAACGAGACUCUACCUUACUAACUAGUCGGCGGAUCGUAACCCUGAGAUGGUUAGUUUGUAUAGGUUAGCUCGCCUAGAUAAUUCUCGCUCGAUCUGCGGGGGGUUGCUAGAAUAGCCGUUCUGCGGUGACUAUGGUUCCUCUCGUACGGUUUAGUUGGUUUUGUCGAAGCGGCUCUCCGAUUACUACUACUACUACUACUGGGGGCGUCCGUCGCAAUAUAUCUUCUUAGAAGGAUCAGCGGCGUAUAGCCGUACGAGAAAGAGCAAUAACAGGUCUGUGAUGCCCUUAGAUGUUCUGGGCCGCACGCGCGCUACAAUGUACGGACCAGCGUGCUUUCCCCCUCCGAAAGGAGCGGGUAACCCGUUGAAACCCGCACCCGAUUGGGAUUGGGGAUUGCAAAUAUUUCCCAUAAACGAGGAAUUCCCAGUAAGCGCGAGUCACUAACUCGCGCUGAUUACGUCCCUGCCCUUUGUACACACCGCCCGUCGCUACUACCGAUUGAAUGAUUCAGUGAGGGCAUCGGACUGGCGCCUUCGGUUUUGAAACAUAGACCUUAGGCUGACGGAAAGAUGUCCGAACUCGAUCAUUUAGAGGAAGUAAAAGUCGUAACAAGGUUUCCGUAGGUGAACCUGCGGAAGGAUCA
rnacentral:rRNA from 1 species